UACGUAGGCAGCAAGCGUUGUUCGGAGUUACUGGGCGUAAAGGGUGUGUAGGCGGUUUUUUAAGUUUGGUGUGAAAUCUCCCGGCUUAACUGGGAGGGUGCAUUAGAAACUGGAAUGCUAGAGGAUGGGAGAGGUAAGCGGAAUUCCUGGUGUAGCGGUGAAAUGCGUAGAUAUCAGGAGGAACACCUGUGGUGUAGACAGCUUACUGGACCAUUUCUGACGCUGAGACACGAAAGCGUGGGUAGCAAACAGG
rnacentral:rRNA from 1 species